rnacentral:tRNA from 1 species
GGUGCUGUAGUUCAGUGGUAGAAUAUCUCACUGUCGAUGGAAAGGUCAGGGGUUCGAUUCCCCUCAGCACCG